GCCUGCGUGGCACAAUUGGUUAGCGCGUGAGACUCUUAUAACCAGGAAUCUCAAGGCUGCGGGUUCGAAUCCCGCCGUGGGUU
rnacentral:tRNA from 1 species